CUUCCACCCCGCCCCCUCCCACGGGCACAGCCGUCUGCGAGAACAAGAGCCACUGCAGCGCCUCUGUGCUCAAAUGACAGCGCCUUUGUCUCUGCUGAAUGGGGGUCUAACGGGCAUGUGUAGGAUUUUCGUCCCAGUCUUUGGCGAGCUCGAUAGCCAGAGGACCUCAGCUCAUCCUUGGAAUCCAGACUGAAUGGAUCGCACAGCCGGCAGCCCCAAGUGAGAAAAGCAGUUUCAGGCCAGCUUGUCCAGUCCUUCUGUCUGUCUUGGUUCCUUCCAUUUCCCAGAUGCCCUCUGCAGUGUCUGGUAAUAAACUAGGUGUUGAAGCUU